rnacentral:rRNA from 1 species
AAGGUGGCCUGUGAGGGUUGCUGGAGGUAUCAGAAGUGCGAAUGCUGACAUAAGUAACGAUAAAGCGGGUGAAAAGCCCGCUCGCCGGAAGACCAAGGGUUCCUGUCCAACGUUAAUCGGGGCAGGGUGAGUCGACCCCUAAGGCGAGGCCGAAAGGCGUAGUCGAUGGGAAACGGGUUAAUAUUCCCGUACUUGGUGUUACUGCGAAGGGGGGACGGAGAAGGCUAUGUUGGCCGGGCGACGGUUGUCCCGGUUUAAGCGUGUAGGUGUGUGUUCCAGGUAAAUCCGGUUCACUUUAACACUGAGGCGUGACGACGAGGCACUACGGUGCUGAAGCAACAAAUGCCCUGCUUCCAGGAAAAGCCUCUAAGCAUCAGGUAACAUCAAAUCGUACCCCAAACCGACACAGGUGGUCAGGUAGAGAAUACCAAGGCGCUUGAGAGAACUCGGGUGAAGGAACUAGGCAAAAUGGUGCCGUAACUUCGGGAGAAGGCACGCUGACACGUAGGUGAAGUGAUUUACUCAUGGAGCUGAAGUCAGUCGAAGAUACCAGCUGGCUGCAACUGUUUAUUAAAAACACAGCACUGUGCAAACACGAAAGUGGACGUAUACGGUGUGACGCCUGCCCGGUGCCGGAAGGUUAAUUGAUGGGGUCAGCGCAAGCGAAGCUCCUGAUCGAAGCCCCGGUAAACGGCGGCCGUAACUAUAACGGUCCUAAGGUAGCGAAAUUCCUUGUCGGGUAAGUUCCGACCUGCACGAAUGGCGUAAUGAUGGCCAGGCUGUCUCCACCCGAGACUCAGUGAAAUUGAACUCGCUGUGAAGAUGCAGUGUACCCGCGGCAAGACGGAAAGACCCCGUGAACCUUUACUAUAGCUUGACACUGAACAUUGAGCCUUGAUGUGUAGGAUAGGUGGGAGGCUUUGAAGCGUGGACGCCAGUCUGCGUGGAGCCGACCUUGAAAUACCACCCUUUAAUGUUUGAUGUUCUAACGUGGACCCGUGAUCCGGGUUGCGGACAGUGUCUGGUGGGUAGUUUGACUGGGGCGGUCUCCUCCUAAAGAGUAACGGAGGAGCACGAAGGUUGGCUAAUCCUGGUCGGACAUCAGGAGGUUAGUGCAAUGGCAUAAGCCAGCUUGACUGCGAGCGUGACGGCGCGAGCAGGUGCGAAAGCAGGUCAUAGUGAUCCGGUGGUUCUGAAUGGAAGGGCCAUCGCUCAACGGAUAAAAGGUACUCCGGGGAUAACAGGCUGAUACCGCCCAAGAGUUCAUAUCGACGGCGGUGUUUGGCACCUCGAUGUCGGCUCAUCACAUCCUGGGGCUGAAGUAGGUCCCAAGGGUAUGGCUGUUCGCCAUUUAAAGUGGUACGCGAGCUGGGUUUAGAACGUCGUGAGACAGUUCGGUCCCUAUCUGCCGUGGGCGCUGGAGAACUGAGGGGGGCUGCUCCUAGUACGAGAGGACCGGAGUGGACGCAUCACUGGUGUUCGGGUUGUCAUGCCAAUGGCACUGCCCGGUAGCUAAAUGCGGAAGAGAUAAGUGCUGAAAGCAUCUAAGCACGAAACUUGCCCCGAGAUGAGUUCU